CCUACGGGUGGCUGCAGUGGGGAAUAUUGCACAAUGGGCGCAAGCCUGAUGCAGCCAUGCCGCGUGUGUGAAGAAGGCCUUCGGGUUGUAAAGCACUUUCAGCGGGGAGGAAGGCGUUAAGGUUAAUAACCUUGUCGAUUGACGUUACCCGCAGAAGAAGCACCGGCUAACUCCGUGCCAGCAGCCGCGGUAAUACGGAGGGUGCAAGUGUUAAUCGGAAUUACUGGGCGUAAAGCGCACACAGGCGGUCUGUCAAGUCGGAUGUGAAAUCCCCGGGCUCAACCUGGGAACUGCAUUCGAAACUGGCAGGCUAGAGUCUUGUAGAGGGGGGUAGAAUUCCAGGUGUAGCGGUGAAAUGCGUAGAGAUCUGGAGGAAUACCGGUGGCGAAGGCGGCCCCCUGGACAAAGACUGACGCUCAGGUGCGAAAGCGUGGGGAGCAAACAGGAUUAGAUACCCCGGUAGUC
rnacentral:rRNA from 1 species